rnacentral:pre_miRNA from 1 species
AGCGUACUCCCUCCGAUCCUAAAUUCUUGUCUCAAAUUUGGCCAAAUAUGGAUGUAUCUAUUCCUAAAAAGCAUCUAGAUACAUGUAAUAUUUCAACAACAAUUUAGGAUCGGAGGGAGUAGAUA